rnacentral:rRNA from 1 species
AUUGUUUGGUGGCGAUAGCGAAGAGGUCACACCCGUUCCCAUGCCGAACACGGAAGUUAAGCUCUUCAGCGCCGAUGGUAGUCGGGGGUUUCCCCCUGUGAGAGUAGGACGCCGCCAAGCAAG